GACGAACGCUGGCGGCGUGCUUAACACAUGCAAGUCGAACGAAAAUACCAAGCUUGCUUGGUUGAUUAGUGGCGAACGGGUGAGUAACACGUGAGUAACCUGCCCCUUACUUUCCUGGAUAACUGCUCGAAAGGGUAGCUAAUACGGGAUAUUCUGACCAGCCUGCAUGGGUUGGUUUGGAAAGGUUGUUUUUCUGGUAAGGGAUGGGCUCGCGGCCUAUCAGCUUGUUGGUGGGGUGAUGGCCUACCAAGGCUUUGACGGGUAGCCGGCCUGAGAGGGUGGACGGUCACACCGGGACUGGGAUACGGCCCAGACUCCUACGGGAGGCAGCAGUGGGGAAUAUUGCACAAUGGGCGCAAGCCUGAUGCAGCGACGCCGCGUGAGGGAUGAAGGCCUUCGGGUUGUAAACCUCUUUCGUCAGGGAACAAGGCACUGCUUUUUUGGUGGUGUUGAGGGUACCUGGAUAAGAAGCGCCGGCUAACUACGUG
rnacentral:rRNA from 1 species